CACAGAGGCACAAAAUGCUAUUUAAUUGAGACACACAAGGGGAGGACGUAUACAGCACUGGAUUUCUUAAGAGCAAAGAGGUUAAAAAACGUCCCACAAGUUCAAGCCUUUGUGACAAUUGUUGAACUACAACCUGUUUUCCCAGUUUUUCCCCAGGAUUUCCCAUAGCUUAACACUGACAAUACCCUGUUGCUUUACCUUCUGUUAUUACUGGAGAGGCGUGUGUUUU